rnacentral:rRNA from 1 species
CACGUAGGCACCAAGCGUUGUCCGGAUUUAUUGGGCGUAAAGAGCUCGUAGGCGGUUCGGUAAGUCGGGUGUGAAAACUUUGGGCUCAACCCAAAGCCUGCACUCGAUACUGCUGUGACUUGAGUCCGGUAGGGGAGUGGGGAAUUCCUGGUGUAGCGGUGAAAUGCGCAGAUAUCAGGAGGAACACCGAUGGCGAAGGCAGGUCUCUGGGCCACUACUGACGCUGAGAAGCGAAAGCAUGGGGAGCAAACAGG